UAAGGCACUAUUUUCCUAAAAUGAAAAUUUAAUUAUAACAGAUAAUGUCAUGAAACAACUAAAGUGUAUACUUUUGUGUUGAUCAUUUUGAUUGGUUACUGUUGCAGUAUGUAUCAGGCCCAUAUGCCCAGAUGUCAUAUCAGCCAGGGACACAAGGGGGCGCCAUGCUACAAACCGUUCCAGUUGAGAAUAACUGAUCAACAUUGCCAAAAAAACCUAGAGCCUGAAAGCAAAGAAGUCGGAUACUCGUUGUCAAGACAAACGCAAGGAACUGACCCAUUUCGUCCUGGUUACUCAAAAAAGUAAACAUUGUUAACAUCCAUAGUAAUGGAGCAGGAAAGAUACAGACCAAAACGAAGACAGACUUGAGUGACGUCACCGACAUUACCUGCUGUGUGGUACCGUUGUUAUUACACGGUCUCACAUACUUUCAACGUCAACAAGUGCUUCACGGCAAACUUAUUUAGAUUUUUAAACAAUUUUAUUUGUGAAAGUUAGAAAAGUUUGUGAAUGUUGUUCUGUUCUCCAUUUUGAGUUGUACGUUUACAUGAAGGGAUUGAUAUUUUUGAAACUAUUUUGUGAAAUUGUUUGUUUUUUAUGUUCUAUUGUAAAGAAAAAAACAGUUUUUUUUUAAUCUAUUGAAAUUGUGCUAUUUUUACAUCAAAUUUAUGUGGUCUUUUUUAUCUUAAUGCCACUGUGAUGUUUGUUCAUGAUUCAUCAGUUCAAGAUAGUCUGUUUCGAUGGUACGUUAAAGUAAUAGUGUAGACGUUUGUCAACAUUCAUUUUCAUGUCAAUCUUAUGUUUGUCAACGUCUUCAUUUUUAUGCCAACCUUAAGUUUGUCAACAUGUACAUUUUCAUCUCAACAUAUUUCCCUAUCAACCUUUUUUUUAUAGUGCUUAAAAUACAGCAAUCACAUUGAUUAGUAUAAUAUCCAACUACCACUUCGCCUUCACUUCCACAUCUAUGGGAUGUAGUUAAAGGCGUCGGAAGAUUCCAGCGACUUAGGCGGUGGGAGGGGUCAUUAUAUUAAUUUGAUUUUCAGGUGGGGUAGGGGUAAUGUCUAAUCUUUAGGUUUGUGAGCCUGCCACAACCGCCGCUUCCGAGACUUAUGAUUCUACCACGGAUUUCAUGAUGUUAAAUUUUUUUUUUUAAAGUUCUUUGAAAUAUUGAAAACAAAACUGCUUAAAAAUUAUGGGAAAAAAAUAGAUGGUCUGGUGCUUUGGACCCUCGUCCAAAUCCACGCCUGGUAAGUAGAUCUGCCGUUUUCGUGUUCGGGUGAAGGUUUUUCGCAAAUGUUAUUCAGACGGCAUACAGCAUACAUCUUGUUUAGUGCUGUUAAAUGUAUUCGUUGACUUUGAUCAAAUCUAUUGAUGGGUAUUAAAAUGAGAGUGACUUCGCUCUGAAAAAAGGGAAAUAAUUAAAGGCAAAGUUAUGAGCUCAUCUCGUUAGCAUAUCGAUGUUACAGAUGGUAUUUGCAAUCAUAAAAAAUAAAAUCAGAAACAAUUUUUAAAAUGAUCAAGACCUAUUUUCUUUUAUCCUCGGCUUACCUGUGGCUGUUAUAAAUAGCGCAUCGUUAUUUGGAAACGACGGUUCUUUCAUUACAUUUGUAUAUUUUGCUUUCAUUUAUUUGUUGUGGUCAACACUGGAAUUUUUAUAUCCUUUGCGUAUGUUUCAUAAGAAGUAAAUACAACCAAAACCAAUCCACACUUACCAACCCUACCUUUCUGGAUUGAAUUUGAUAUCAGAGUUUUUAAAAGGUGGAAAGAAACCUUCAUUUCAUUGAUUGUUUUAAAGCAUAGUUUUAAAAAUAUAUAAUUAUAUAAGAGCAUAAUAAAUGCUAAUCUAUUUAGGUUUUCCUUUUUAAAAAAGAAGCGUCUUCCAUUUGAUAUUUAAAUGGAUACGAAUGGUUAACAGUUACACUUCAGUUCAAAGGCAUCAAUUAUCCAUUGUGCUUAAAUCAUCAACUAUGGUAAAUUUAAUACCCACAUCCUUAGUUUAAAAAAUUAAAUAAAUUAUUAUUAUUAUCGAAUAUGCUCACAUUUGAGAAGUUGGGCUGCGACUGGUUUGGAAUGGGAAUAGAGACAGAUAACUAGUUUUUCAAUAUUAAACAUUUAAAUCCAUGGUGCUGAGGGUCAUAUAAUAUAUGUAUAUAUAUAUAUAUAUAUAUAUAUAUACACACACACACACACACACAUCUGACCAGUGCAAAAUGUUAACUAAAACACAUAUUGUUUUAUCUUGGUGAACUAUAAGACUGUUAAGAGGUGAGAGAAAACUACUGACAUUACCAUGUACCAGUUGCAAUGACCAACUUUCAUUAUGGCGCCAAGUGUUAGAGUUAAAAAUAUUGUUUUGUUCAACAACACCACUAGAGUCGCGGAUCAGAGAUGUCGAUAACUGAUGGAAAUGAGGUGUACUCCAAAAAGGAUUAUGGCAUUGGGAGAACGAACUCGAACUGUUGUUUUAUGGUCAGUUCAUCUUGGAAAUGAAAAGAAAAUGUAGGGAAUUCUAAAUAAUUUUAUUCUGUGAGUAAAGAGUAGUGGCAAUUAUGACGCCUUCUACCCUCCAUCCUCCUUGUAAUAUGAUUAAUUCAGAUACAAAUGAGAAGUUAUGAAGAUUUUCGAAGAGUAAUGCCUCAGCCAACACUUCAGUGUUUUUAUUAUUCCAUCAUAUGUAUAUACACGAGUUCUAAACAGCAGAUGUCUUUAAGAAGUAAGGACAAACUUUACCUAAGAACUUAGUUUCACCACUGUGAAAACAAUCCACGGGUACAUGUAUGCAUUUUUAAAAUCAUUAUGAAUGUGUAUUUUUUCUUGUUUGCCGAAAUUGCCUGUUGUGUAUAAAAUGUUUUGACUACACAAUUACGGUUUUGUUGUUUUUAUUGUUGUUUUCAUUCACUGAAUUUGUAUUUGGUGAUAUUUCGAAUGAGAAUUUGUUCUUGGUGUUUGAAUUUGAUUAGGUUUAGAUUCUGUUGUACCUUUUAAAAUUUAUUUUUACUUGACAGAUUCAUUUUAUGGGUGUUAAUGUCUCUAUUCAUCUCUGUCAUUUUGUUGAUGUUAAUGUCUAUCCGUCUGUCCGCCUCUUGUAAUAACUUGACAAAAGUGCUGAGACUUGUACGUACGAUCUUGUUGGUGACUGCUUUGUGUUUUUGUUUUUAUGCAUUUUUACUGUUUUCUAUAUUUGUUAUGUUUAGUGUAAAGUGCAUUUUUAGACGAACGCACUUUUUGUUGUAUAAAGUUGCAUCACAUUUUUUUUCUUAUUUAAACACUGAUGGCUAUUGCCAGCUUCAAAUAUUAUUUUUAUUUUAAGUUAUUUUAAUAAAUCUCCUGAGUUUUUGAUGUAACAUCAUCACUAAACAAAACUGUUCUGUUUUCUUCAUUACUGGUGAAUGUACGUAACAUUUGUUUUACGACUAUUUCAAGAUGACGUCUUUGAGAUAGGCCUAAUUUAUCUCAAUCAGUAUUUUACAGUCUUCUCCAUGGGAUACUAUUUGAACUUUUUUACUUAUCAAGUUCUAAUGAUACAAUUCAUGUUUGAACUAAUAAUCCAGAUAUCUCCUACGCACACAACACGAUUACUUGGACAUACGCUAUACAUGUACCGAAAUAUUAAAUUUCGUAUUUCUUUAUGGUUUCGGUUUGCUGCUUUGGUUACAAUUUAAAAAAAAAAAGAGGUGGUGUAGGGGUCAAUAGGGAUUUGAAAUGCGCUUUCAUAAUAUUUUUUACUUCGACCGCUUUCCUACUCACCACCCCAGCCCAACAACAUCAUGGUUCUUACUUUAAAUUAUUACAAAGUAAUCCGCACUUAUUAAAAUAUCCAUUUUACGGCUUUAUAUAUAUAGCAAUGCAAAGCAGAGUAUUUGUUAUCAAUAGUGUAUACAAUGAAUGUGUCGAAAUAUAGGUUUUGGAAUUUAAUGUGAUAUAUCAUCGAUAUCGGACCAACUCUGCUCAUUAUUGAAAAAUACCUCACUUCAUAAAAACAUCGCUUACUUCACAUUUAAUUCUUCUUAACUUGUUAUCGAUAUUGAUCCAAGGUUAUGCAAAUGUGAACAGUGUGUGCUGUUUUAAAUUACUUUUCAUAGCUACAUUUCCAAAAAUAUUUGUAUAAUCAGUAAAUAUUUAUUUGAAUGUAGCAUAUUCAUUGCAAAACAAAAAUGCAGCUCCAAGUUCAGCGCAUUAAACGUUUCGCUAACGUUCGCGAACGAUUUGAUUUGUUCCCGACGUGGCCAUUUGUUUUACUGUGAAGCGCAUAAACCAGCCUAGCGGACUUUUUUCUGCUCAGUCUGACUGACCUCAGCACUGGUUUAUGUGUUUUCUUCAAAUGUAGCCCGUUAAUAGUAGAAUUAUUAUAUAAAAUUUAAUCUUGAGUUCUCGAAAGAAAAAAAAAAGAACCAAUUAAAAAAGGUAUUUUAAAUUUCAGCAUAACGGUAAUUUCAGCUAUUAAAAGAAAAAACCCCAACAUAUUGUAACAAGCCAAACUUAAUAGUUUGUGUCCAUUUAUUGGAAAAUCGCUUUCUUUUUUUAAUAAUUAAAGUGACACCAAACAUGAGUUCAGGUUUGCAAUUUUUAAGGCAAAUGAAUUGUAUAUACACUGCGAAGUUGGAAAGACAAUAAAUCUCGAUUCAGUGUCAGAAUAGCUUAAUAGUUGAUGAGUAUUACAGUUAUUCAGUGAAUAAUGUCACUAAUAAUGCUAACAAGAUGGAAAUGAGGUCACUAGAAUGACAUGUUAAUGUCCUGAGUCGAGUGUAGUUGGUGUCUCACAUUAAUAAUUUAGAAUUGGUUUAUGCCACAUUAAAUUUACAAGCUGAUGAAUAUUAAUGAUUAUAAAUAUGUUUGCUCUGAUAACUCAGUGUUUUAUUCCAAGAUUCCGUUAUAUAUAUAUUAAAAAUAAAAUAUAACUGUAAAUAGCAGUUUCGUUUUGUACAUUGUGUUUAUUAACAACAUACACGUUUCUCUCUUUUUUUUUCAUUUUAUUUUCUAAUUUACGAUAUGUCUAUCUGCAUCAGAUACAAGAAUAUUUAUGUGUUUGCAACAUAGAUUUUAAUUUAAAUGUAGUUAUUUGAGUGUCUUUUAUUUAUUUAUUUUUGUAUUUGAAUGUUUUUUUUUUUUUAUGUGUUUUGUUUUUCGACAUACCAUUAGAAGUAGCAAGUAUUAAUUUAAUUUGUAACAGUUUUCUAAUCUCAAAAAGACAACUGUUUCCAAGAAUUGAAUAAUGAACUACUAAUAGGAACGAGCUCUUCUGAAAAAUAGACUCCAAAUCGAUGUUUUUUUUAAUUACUCCCCUCCCCCACAACCAUUUAAUUAAAGCUGAUAGAUACUACGAGCUGGUCAAGAUUUUAUAGUAGAAAGAAAUGGCAUAUUUGUUUAAGUACAAUUUAAACUAUGGAUAUUUGGUAUACCAUAUAUAUGGUUAUUUCGACACUUGGUGGAAGGAAGGAAAAGAGGAAACCCCUGUUGCUGCCAAACAAGCGAAUCGUACCCCUACAAUAAAAAAGCAUCAAGGAAUUUUAAUAUACACUUGCUAAAGGCUGGAGAAUACAUACCACGGCCAUUGAUGUACCAUUUGUGGGGCACUGGCUAAGACAGAGAGAAAACACGAAUCCAUCCAGGGUUAUUUCUUAGUAGAGUGCUACUGACAAUUGUAAUCCAGGUCUCGUACAUUUUGUGGUGUAACAAAGACCGUGAUAUGUACUGUCCUGGCUGUGGGAUGGUGCGUAUAAAAAUAGUUUUUCCUGUUAUUUGAAAAACAGAGAGAGAGAGAGAGAGAGAGAGAGAGAGAGAGAGAGAGAGAGAGAGAGAGAGAGAGAGCGAGCAAGGGAGUGAGUAGCCCAUGUCUGUGCCGUUCUUAAUCCUAUGUCUGACGCCAUGUAUUCGUAAAUACAAAUGCGUUGAGUGUGUCAUUUAACAUUCUUCUUCCCGUACAUUUUAUAGCUGGUCAGACUAUUUUGUAAACCGUAUCAAGUCAAAUUCUUCAAAAUUGUAAUGUGUCAUUUUGCGGCAAAACCCUUCAUACUACUAUAAUUGGUUUAGUACAAAAGAAACAAAGAAUCGCCGAAUCAUAGGCGUCGGAAGAUGCCAACAGCUGGGGAGGAAGGG
rnacentral:lncRNA from 1 species